AGAGUUUGAUCAUGGCUCAGGACGAACGCUGGCGGCGCGCUUAACACAUGCAAGUCGAGCGAGAACCAGGCCUUCGGGCCUGGGGAAAGCGGCGAACGGGUGAGUAACACGUGGGUAACCCACCCUUGGUACCGGGAUAGCCCGAGGAAACUCGGAUUAAUACCGGAUGGCCCAACAGCUUCUCGGAGCGGUUGGAAAAGGUAGCUUCGGCCUCCGACCAAGGACGGGCCCGCGGCGGAUUAGCUUGUUGGUGAGGUAACGGCUCACCAAGGCUUCGAUCCGUAGCUGGUCUGAGAGGACGAUCAGCCACACUGGGACUGAGACACGGCCCAGACUCCUACGGGAGGCAGCAGUGGGGAAUCUUGCGCAAUGGGCGAAAGCCUGACGCAGCGACGCCGCGUGGGGGAAGAAGGCUUUCGGGUUGUAAACCCCUUUCAGGAAGGACGAAGCCACUCGGGUUAAUAGCCCAGAGGGUGACGGUACUUCCAGAAGAAGCCCCGGCUAACUACGUGCCAGCAGCCGCGGUAAUACGUAGGGGGCAAGCGUUGUCCGGAUUUAUUGGGCGUAAAGAGCGUGUAGGCGGUCAGGUAGGUCCGUUGUGAAAACUCGAGGCUCAACCUCGAGACGCCGAUGGAAACCAUCUGACUAGAGUCCGGAAGAGGAGAGUGGAAUUCCUGGUGUAGCGGUGAAAUGCGCAGAUAUCAGGAAGAACACCCGUGGCUAAGGCGGCUCUCUAGUACGGUACUGACGCUGAGACGCGAAAGCGUGGGGAGCGAACAGGAUUAGAUACCCUAGUAGUCC
rnacentral:rRNA from 1 species